rnacentral:rRNA from 1 species
GUGCCAGCCGCCGCGGUAAUACGGAGGGAGCGAGCGUUGUUCGGAAUUACUGGGCGUAAAGGGCGCGUAGGCGGCCUCGUAAGUCGGGUGUGAAAGGCCGGGGCUCAACCCCGUGCACUGCACCCGAUACUGCAUGGCUAGAGAAAGGUAGAGGCGAGCGGAAUUCCCGGUGUAGCGGUGGAAUGCGUAGAUAUCGGGAAGAACAUCUGCGGCGAAGGCGGCUCGCUGGGCCUUUUCUGACGCUGAAGCGCGAAAGCGUGGGGAGCAAACAGGAUUAGAUACCCUGGUAGUCCACGCCGUAAACGCUGGGCACUAGGUGUCGGGAGGCUUGGUCCUUUCGGUGCCGCAGCUAACGCAUUAAGUGCCCCGCCUGGGGAUUACGGCCGCAAGGCUGAAACUCAAAGGAAUUGACGG